GCAAGUCGAGCGGUAACAGAAAGUAGCUUGCUACUUUGCUGACGAGCGGCGGACGGGUGAGUAAUGCUUGGGAACAUGCCUUGAGGUGGGGGACAACAGUUGGAAACGACUGCUAAUACCGCAUAAUGUCUACGGACCAAAGGGGGCUUCGGCUCUCGCCUUUAGAUUGGCCCAAGUGGGAUUAGCUAGUUGGUGAGGUAAUGGCUCACCAAGGCGACGAUCCCUAGCUGGUUUGAGAGGAUGAUCAGCCACACUGGGACUGAGACACGGCCCAGACUCCUACGGGAGGCAGCAGUGGGGAAUAUUGCACAAUGGGCGCAAGCCUGAUGCAGCCAUGCCGCGUGUGUGAAGAAGGCCUUCGGGUUGUAAAGCACUUUCAGUCAGGAGGAAAGCGUGGUGGUUAAUACCCAUCAUGUGUGACGUUACUGACAGAAGAAGCACCGGCUAACUCCGUGCCAGCAGCCGCGGUAAUACGGAGGGUGCGAGCGUUAAUCGGAAUUACUGGGCGUAAAGCGUACGCAGGCGGUUUGUUAAGCGAGAUGUGAAAGCCCCGGGCUCAACCUGGGAACUGCAUUUCGAACUGGCAAACUAGAGUGUGAUAGAGGGUGGUAGAAUUUCAGGUGUAGCGGUGAAAUGCGUAGAGAUCUGAAGGAAUACCGAUGGCGAAGGCAGCCACCUGGGUCAACACUGACGCUCAUGUACGAAAGCGUGGGGAGCAAACGGGAUUAGAUACCCCGGUAGUCCACGCCGUAAACGAUGUCUACUAGAAGCUCGGAGCCUCGGUUCUGUUUUUCAAAGCUAACGCAUUAAGUAGACC
rnacentral:rRNA from 1 species